GCACACACCUAUAGUCCCAGCUACUUGGGAUGCUGAGGCAGGAGGAUCAGUUGAGCCCAGAAGUUCUGAGCUAUACUGUGCUAUGUUAAUUGGGUGCCUACACUAAGUUCAGCACCAACAUGGUGAUGUCCAGGAGCAUGGGAACACCAGGUUGUCUAAGGAGGAGGGUGGACUGGCCCAGGUAAGAAACAAAGUGGGUCAAAACUCCUAUGCUGAUUAGUAGUGGGAUUGCACCUGUGAAUAGCCACUGUACUCCAGCCUGGGCAACAUAGUGUGAGACCCUGUUUCU
rnacentral:SRP_RNA from 1 species